UUAGGCGAACGGGUGAGUAACGCGUGAGUAACCUGCCCUGGAGUGGGGGACGAACAGUUGGAAACGACUGCUAAUACCGCAUAAGCCCACGAUCCGGCAUCGGAUUGAGGGAAAAGGAUUUAUUCGCUUCAGGAUGGACUCGCGUCCAAUUAGCUAGUUGGUGAGGUAACGGCCCACCAAGGCGACGAUUGGUAGCCGGACUGAGAGGUUGAACGGCCACAUUGGGACUGAGACACGGCCCAGACUCCUACGGGAGGCAGCAUG
rnacentral:rRNA from 1 species